rnacentral:rRNA from 1 species
AUUGAACGCUGGCGGCAGGCCUAACACAUGCAAGUCGAGCGAGUGGCGGACGGGUGAGUAAUGUAUGGGGACCUGCCCGAUAGAGGGGGAUAACUACUGGAAACGGUGGCUAAUACCGCAUACUAUCGGAUGUGCCCAUAUGGGAUUAGCUAGUAGGUGGGGUAACGGCUCACCUAGGCGACGAUCUCUAGCUGGUCUGAGAGGAUGAUCAGCCACAAUGGUACUGAGACACGGUCCAGACUCCUACGGGAGGCAGCAGUGGGGAAUAUUGCACAAUGGGCGCAAGCCUGAUGCAGCCAUGCCGCGUGUAUGAAGAUGGCCUUAGGGUUGUAAAGUACUUUCAGCGGUGAGGCGUUACCCGCAGAAGAAGCACCGGCUAACUCCGUGCCAGCAGCCGCGGUAAUUC